AUUUAAAUAGUUUAAAUUAGAAUAAUAAUUUGUGGUGUUAUAGGUGAAUAUUAAUUCUUUAGAUC
rnacentral:tRNA from 1 species